rnacentral:lncRNA from 1 species
CCAGGGGUUGUGGCCACCUGGGGACCCAGGCCCUGCGUUCCCAGGGUGACCCAGGGUCCUGGGGUUCAGGGUUUAUUUUUAGAGCUCAUGACACUGCCCAACGCUGGGGCUGGGGGUGGUUGACGGAGGGCCCUCCCCGGUCAUCCUGGGCCAGCUGAACGGGCCACUGCUGGGGCUCAGGAGCCCUCAGCGACCCUGCAGCAGAGCUGGCCUGGGGCGGCCAGUCUGGGUGGGCUGGUGGGAUCCGGGAAGGGCUUGCCAAGAGGGCCCCUCCCUGCGCCCUCACUGGGCUCGGAGUGGGCUUGGCUCUGGAAGCAGAGGCCCCACAGCUCCAGGCGCGGCAGGGCUGGGUGGAAGCAGGAGUGAAGGAGGGAGCCAACGUGGUCUGAGGGUCGUCCAGCUCCGCUCACCUCCCGGCUGGUGAGACUUGGCACCCAGGGGAACGCUUACCCAGCCCCAGAUGUGCUCCGGGCCCACCUGUCCGCGGGGUCGGGGUUGGACCCCGUGCCGCGGCCUUCCCAGCCAGCCUCUCAGCCAGGCUGCCCAGGCACAGUCCCUCAGGUGUCCCGCCCCCAGGCCUGCCCCGGCCACUCCCCAGCCCAGGACUGACCCCACUGGCAGCUCUGUCCUCCAGCCCUGACUGCCCAGCCCUGACCGCUGUCCUUCCCCUGGUUUAACCCCCAUCCUAUCAGCCCCACCCAGGGCGUCCCCUUCACUCCCGCAGCCGAGCCCCCUUCAGUCCUUGCCUUGGCUUGGAGGCCCCCACAGGCCAGCACGCCCCAGGCUCAGCCCCCUGAUCCCUGGAUGCCACUGUCUGUGCAAGGGAGAUUGGUCUCCACUCAGGCUGGCACACUUUGGUGACCUAGGUGGGAGCUUGCACAGGUGCCUGGGCCUGGGGACCCAGGAGCACUGGUGGCGGGAUCUGCAGUGGAGCAUAGGGGCUUCCCCUGUGGAGACCACCUGCUCCCAACAGCUCAUUCUGGCCUCACAAACCUAAUCUUCUGUGCUGCCUGGAGUCAGAUUGGGGUCCUGCCCUGUGGGCCCAGGAGCCCAGCCCUGAAUGUGCCUCUGCUGGGCAAUAGCCCAGCCCAGACUCUGCAGCCGCUGGUGCCCUGGUCAGCUGCCCACGCCCUUAGCGUCUUGAAAGCCGCCAACACAGGGCUUGCUCUGGCCCCGGCUUCGUGCCCCAGUCCACCAUGUGGUCGCUGUUGGUCAGGACCCUUCCCGUGGCCUCCCGGGCACCUCGGGCAGCCCGGGGAUCAGGGGCUCUGCCUUCACAAUUCAGGAUCAGCUCAGGGCAGGCUCACAGUGCAGGGUGGGGACAACCGGUCCACCCAGACCCCUGACCUUCCUGGAAAACCAUCCGUCUCCGUGGGCCCCUGCAGAGACAGCCGUCCUCCGCGCUGCCAUGUGUUCCUGGAGCCUCUCCAAGACAAUCGCACCAGCUCCCUUGUGGGCCACAAAGGUCCUUUGACGGUGGCGGCCGGAGCUAAACCCACAGUUGGGGUGAGGAGG